GGAGGAAAUACCUUGUAGCCUGUGAAGUGAACUUGCCCUUAGUGAUGGGGAGAACACAACCUGGUGCAGCAGGUUCUGGGAAUUGUCCCUGGAGAUGGUGAAUUGCCCUUUCACAGUCAAGUAGAUACCACUAACUGGGUUGAUCAUAACUAGUUGCAGGCAUCCACCCGCUCCAGCCCCUUCCCAGGGCCUGUUGCACCCAAUCCAUGUAGUUGUUGCUGAAGGUGAAUCCAGAGGCUUUGCAGGAGAGGUGCUGAAUGUCUAGGCUUCCUCACAUCCCCUCCAGACUACAUGAGCUGCACCUGAAAACCAAGAUAGAACAGGCUGCUGGAGAGGCUUUGCAAGAGUGCUGCACAGUCUCCAGGCUUCCUCACAGCAGCUCUGCAUUCCCUGAGCUUGCCCUGCCUCCUGCCCCCUGCACUGAGAGACAUGGCGAGAGGCCUGGACACGUGGGCCCCCGGUGCCAAGCCUGUGACGG